rnacentral:misc_RNA from 1 species
UCCGGUUUGUCACCGGCAGUCUCAUUAGAGUGCUCAACUAAAUGUAGCAACUAAUGACAAGGGUUGCGCUCGUUGCGGGACUUAACCCAACAUCUCACGACACGAGCUGACGACAGCCAUGCAGCACCUGUGUUACGGCUCUCUUUCGAGCACCCUCUAAUCUCUUAAAGGUUCCGUACAUGUCAAGGGUAGGUAAGGUUUUUCGCGUUGCAUCGAAUUAAUCCACAUCAUCCACCGCUUGUGCGGGUCCCCGUCAAUUCCUUUGAGUUUUAAUCUUGCGACCGUACUCCCCAGGCGGAAUGCUUAAAGCGUUAGCUGCGCCACUGACGAGCAAGCUCGCCAACGGCUGGCAUUCAUCGUUUACGGCGUGGACUAC